GGGGUGCAGCAGGCGCGAAACCUUAGCAAUGUGCGAAAGCACGACUGGGUCAGUCCGAGUGAUUCCUGAUAAAGGAGUCUUUUGCCUGUCCUAAAAGCACAGGUGAAUAAGGGGUGGGCAAGUCUGGUGUCAGCCGCCGCGGUAAUACCAGCACCUCGAGUGGUCAGGACGUUUAUUGGGCCUAAAGCAUCCGUAGCCGGCUCUGCAAGUCUUCGGUUAAAUCCACCUGCUCAACAGAUGGGCCGCUGGAGAUACUACAGAGCUAGGGAGUGGGAGAGGCAGACGGUAUUCAGUGGGUAGGGGUAAAAUCCUCUGAUCCAUUGAGGACCACCAGUGGCGAAGGCGGUCUGCCAGAACACGUUCGACGGUGAGGGAUGAAAGCUGGGGGAGCAAACCGGAUUAGAUACCCGGGUAGUCCCAGCUGUAAACGAUGCAAACUCGGUGAUGCAUUGGCUUAUGGCCAAUGCAGUGCCGCAGGGAAGCCGUUAAGUUUGCCGCCUG
rnacentral:rRNA from 1 species